UACGGAGGCUCCAAGCGUUGUCCGGUAUCAUUGGGCGUAAAGAGUUCUGUAGGCGGUAUUGUAAGUUAUGGGUUAAAUCCUCCGGCUCAACCGGAGACCUGCUCGUAAUACUGCAAUACUAGAGAUAGACAGGGGAGGGUGGAAUUCAUGGUGUAGCGGUGGAAUGCGUUGAUAUCAUGAGGAACACCGAAGGCGUAGGCAACCCUCUGGGUCUUUUCUGACGCUGAGAGACGAAAGCGUGGGUAGCAAACGGG
rnacentral:rRNA from 1 species